rnacentral:rRNA from 1 species
UACGGGAGGCAGCAGUAGGGAAUCUUUCACAAUGGGCGCGAGCCUGAACCAGCCAAGUAGCGUGCAGGAUGACGGCCCUAUGGGUUGUAAACUGCUUUUAUGCGGGGAUAAAGUCGGCUACGCGUAGCCGUUUGCAGGUACCGCAUGAAUAAGGACCGGCUAAUUCCGUGCCAGCAGCCGCGGUAAU